rnacentral:lncRNA from 1 species
UCUAGCAGAGAGCAAGACAGAAAAGGAAAUGCUAUGAGACUGAAAAGCACCUUGAUUGAAGCCAUUAACAACUGCAAAAGGUACUAAAACUCUCUUCUUCGGGAGAUUGCUUUGCGAUAUUCCUUUGAAGCAAUUCCUCUAUAUAUACACAUAUCUUUAUACAUGGAGAGAAAAAGAUAGAUCAUGCAAUUAUAUCAACUGCUCUUCUACCAAAUCCCCCUACUUUCACUAUAUGCCUCUUAUGGCUAAAACUGACCCCUUCAACUUGUAGUAUCUACUCCUUAAUGGAAAUGGAUGAUGGAGAUGGAGGAGGAAUUUGAAAUUUGUGACAGUGUUUCUGGUUUUAGUUUCACCUGCUCCACGAACACAUAUAGAUAUCCCUAUUUGUCACAUUCUUGAUCAGUCUAUGGACUUUUACCUCAGUUAGCAAUUUGCUUUUGUUUUUCUUACAUUUAUUGCCCAAAUAAAUGGACUGCAACAGACAAAGAAUGCUCUAUUUACGGGGCUACAAAAUGUUCCAAGAUUAACAUGUUGUCCCGUGGUUGAACAACAAUUCCCUUAUUUAUCAAUCGGGAGAUCAGUUUUACUAUUGAAUUUAUGCCGGACCAGUAUGGGUGGUCGACCUUGCCUAGUGUAGAAUCGUACUGGACGACCAAACUAAAAAUUAAAAAAAAAUCUUUGUCUCCUAUAUUAAUCCAUGAGUGCGUAAGUAUCAUUGAACUAUCUUUGUAGUAGUCGACAGUUUUAUCUCAUUCUUUAAGAUCAUUUUCUUGUUUCUUCAGUCUUUUAAUAAAUGGUGAAGACUAAUCAGUGUUAAUGCGGUACAUUCUUUUUGAAGUAAUUUCGUUUAAGUUCUACAGAAGAAACCAUAUUUGUAAAUGAUGAUAACGGAAAUUAAACCACCCUCCUACGCCAGGAUUGAUCGGAUUGGUGCAGCCAUUUUUGGGUGGUCGACCAAGUUGUUCCAAUGUCAUAAGUCUUGUAUGAUGUUGAAAAUACUAUUGCUCCGAUUCUCCAGAAGGUAUUCCUCCUGUCUGCUAGGAAAGAGACUUAAGGCCCCAGUUUGAGCCCCUUUAAUUUGAAAAAAUGUAUUAUGGAAAAAUAGUAGUGAAUGAUAGAGAAUGUGUAGUUAAAAAGAAGGAAGUUUUUUUUUUUUUUUUUGCAUUUAAUAUUAUUUUAAUGAAAAUGAGUACUAUAUAAAAAAU